UAGAUGGGCAAAGCAGCCGAAAGACUGUGACGCAAAGCUAUAGGACCUGUAAAAUGGUAGCCAGUUGCAA
rnacentral:ncRNA from 1 species